rnacentral:rRNA from 1 species
CCUACGGGGGGCUGCAGUGGGGAAUAUUGCACAAUGGGGGAAACCCUGAUGCAGCAACGCCGCGUGAGUGAGGAAGUAUUUCGGUAUGUAAAGCUCUAUCAGCAGGGAAUAGAAAAGAAGGUACCUGAAAAAGAAGCCCCGGCUAACUACGUGCCAGCAGCCGCGGUAAUACGGAGGAUGCGAGCGUUAUCCGGAUUCAUUGGGUUUAAAGGGUGCGCAGGCGGGCCUUUAAGCCGGCGGUGAAAUCGCGGGGCUCAACCCCGCCGAGCCGUCGGAACUGGGGGCCUUGAGUGCGGCGGAGGCAUGCGGAAUGCGCGGUGUAGCGGUGAAAUGCAUAGAUAUCGCGCAGAACCCCGAUUGCGAAGGCAGCGUGCCGUGCCGCCACUGACGCUGAGGCACGAAAGCGCGGGGAUCGAACAGGAUUAGAUACCCCUGUAGUC